rnacentral:misc_RNA from 1 species
AAGGCAUUCUUCUUUGAUCAUCGACUAAUUUAUUUGAGCCUUUCGCCUUGAGAAGUGAGUUGAUCUGCACUACCAUUUUGAGUAGUUUCUGUUUAAACCAAAAUUCUAAAUAGAAUUGAUGCAUUUGGUUUAGUUUUGUUUGUUGUUCUAAGGCAUUAGGCCAUUUCCUGAUAACCUGACCAGGUGGAAUUGGAAGCCAUAAAGCUGGGCACAAUACAAAUCAAAUGCAUCAAUUCUAUUUAGAAUUUUG